ACCAAAAAUAAUUUCAGUUCCAUUUCUGGAAACCGAACUCUCUCUCUCUUGCGCGCGUCCGAGCCCAGAAAAAACAGAGCAAAGCUCUCCGGCCGAGUUCUCCCUCCUCCGGCCACCAAUCGACACCAGACCACCUCCCUUGCCUUCGCCUCGACGCCGCCUACCUGCUAGACGUGAUCACUUCCCCCGGAACGGCCUCAAAUCCGGCAGUCGGAGCCGCAAACUUUGAAACAAAAAUCGGUCAACGCCGGUUUUCUCCUAGCUCCGGCCACCAAAACUCACGAUCCUUAGCUCCCUGAACUCGCCUCAACCUUCUGAUCAUCAUUCUAGAAGGAUCGCACCUGGAGUGAUCGGAUUCACGUUCGUCGGAGCUCGCCGGAUUCUGGAAAUUUUCCACCACCACCGAAGCUUUUGAUAGAAGGAAUCGAAGCCUGGAAUUGAAGUUUUGACGUCGAAAUCAAGCCUUGCCGGAUUCUGCAAAAUUCUGGAAUUUUUCCGACCACCGAAGCUUUCGAUCGGUAUAUCUCGAGCUACAGACCAUAUUUUUCUGUGAUUCUUGAACCAGUGAGUUCUUCUUGAGUUUCUUAACAACUCUUCAGAAGGAAUCGAAGCCUUAAAUUGACGUUUUUACGUCGAAUUGGAGCUCGCCGUUUUCUGCAGUUUCUCGCCGGUUUCUGGAAAAUUCCGGCCACCUUCAUACUGUUCAAGGUGAUCGACGGUUUGAUUUGGCGGACGAUUCGUGAAAUUGUAUUUUGAGCUGUUAAGAAGACGCAGCGGGAAUUUAGAGCGGGUAAUCCUACAGGUCAGGAGAACCAGGACGGUGAUCGGGCUGCUUAGAGUAGUGUUAUGUGAAUUACAGCAUUAUAUUGUGAGGUUUGUUAUGCUCAUUUAGAGCUUUACGAUUUUACUUUGUAAGAGUGAAUUGUAAUAAUUAACUCGAGGUUUUCGAGUUUUGUGUUGA